AGCAGUGAUGAGCACGAUUCUGUCUGACCUGGUAUUGCAAGACUAAGUCUUCUCUGACCAGGAUGUGAUCAGUAAAUCUUCUCUCUGAGCUG